CCGAUGGCGACCGGCGCACGGGUGAGUAACACGUAUCCAACCUGCCGAUAACUCGGGGAUAGCCUUUCGAAAGAAAGAUUAAUACCCGAUGGCAUAAUAGAACCGCAUGGUUUGAUUAUUAAAGAAUUUCGGUUAUCGAUGGGGAUGCGUUCCAUUAGGCAGUUGGUGGGGUAACAGCCCACCAAACCUUCGAUGGAUAGGGGUUCUGAGAGGAAGGUCCCCCACAUUGGAACUGAGACACGGUCCAA
rnacentral:rRNA from 1 species